AUAACACCAUUUCUUUAGUUAUAUUUCAGUUAUCCUACUCUGGACAUUCAAUGGUCCAUUGUGUUAUUGUCCCAUGUCCUGCAUGCUUACCCAUAUGGCCAUAUUAUAUAGUGACAAGAGAAUUAUGAAGCUGAAUAGCUGAUUUUUACAGACUUUGCUAAGACAGGAUUCUGAAUUAACGAAUAUGGUUUUACAUACUCAGAUUGUCUGCAGAAAAGAAUAAAUUAAUAUAGUGCUAGUCACUAUAAUGAUAAUACUGUUUGAGAAGAAACAUGCAUGAAUAAAGUAGAAUAGUUUAAGACAAUACUUUGCUUUGAGGCAUACAGUGAGCUACGUUUGAAGGGAGGUCUUUGGGUAUCAAAACUCAAAAGAAACAUUCAGUUCAUAAGAAAAGAACAGCUUCAUGAUAUUUUGUCUAGAAGAACUCGAAUUAUCAAUAAAAAAGGCUCAAUCAAG
rnacentral:lncRNA from 1 species